rnacentral:tRNA from 1 species
ACCUGGGUGUCUCAGUCAGUUAAGUGUCUGACUUUGGCUCAGGUCAUGAUCUCACGGUUUGUGGGUUCAAGCCCCAUAUCAGGUU